rnacentral:lncRNA from 1 species
AGUAAAGCGGGCGGCGGGAAGACGGUCGACGAGUUGCUCGUUCGUCUUCGUCCGUACAGCGCGGCGUGGGGCUGGGAACGCGCGCCCUGCCCUGACGGAGGCGGAACCGCGGGGUAAUUAACUGAUGAACGCGAGUCACGCAGCUCCCUCUGCGCUCACGGCGGGACCCGGGCCAGCUCGCUCGUCUGGUUUCCCCCGGGCUUUCCUACAAUUUCCAGGGAUUCACUGAUGGAGAAUCAACCAACCCCAGUGGAGAGGGUCCACAGAGCAUCUGAAGGGAUGACCACAUUUUUCUCGUGAGAACUGGUUGGAAGCGCAUUCAAUUUUUCACCUCAUAAAACCAUCCACCACUCUUCAUCUUAUGACAAAGCAUGACAAAGAAGAUUUGGACCUGAAAGUUUUCAAGAGUACCAGCGUGCUUAGAGGACUUAGAGAUCAGGGAAGAGGCUGGAGCCAGAAAGUGGCAGAUAUAAUCCAGAUUUCUAAAGCUAUGGGCAAGGUGAAGUCGACCAGCCAAAGUCCAGCUUGGCCAAACGGAUGUGGACCAGCAACAGAAAAACAACUGUUCGGCUUUUUGCUCAAGUGGCAACGCGCUUGCCCACCCACCAGGGCGCGGGAGUGUUGCUCCGGUCCUUGGCCUGAGACCAGCCGAGGGGGAGCCGGGAGACUUCAAGAGUGUCUCGCAGCCCCCAGCCAGCAGCUCGUCCUCCUCCCAGCCCCCUCCUCACCACGUCGCUACUCCCGCAGGGACUACAUCCUAUGCACCGGCCCGGCCCUCUGCUUCGCGCGCGGGGUAAAGAGCGCGACAGUUAAAACCGUUACCACCUCCUAG